ACCAGCAGCCAUAUCACUCUGCAACUCACUACUGGCAGCCCACUGAAGCUCAGCAGGUGUGAGCCUGGUUGGUACCUGGAUGGGAGACCUCCUGGGAAAAACUGUGGAACUGCUGGAA
rnacentral:rRNA from 1 species